GCAGGUGAAAUAAACAUGCCAGGUAGUUUUUCACUAAGUCCCACGGUCGCUCUUUGAAAGCCACUAUUUAUGGAAACUAUUCUGUUCAAAUCUCCAUACAGCUUCCACUGUUCUCGGUGGUACUGCUC